rnacentral:tRNA from 1 species
AAAUAAGUAUGAAACAUUUUAAAAUUUCUAAUUUAAAAAAUUUAUGGUUAAAAUCCAUUUUUAUUUU